UCCGACCUGGAAAUAACUCGAGACAGAAAAAGGAGAGAGAGAUUAGUUAGAGAACGAAAGGCGAAAGCACUAAAAGUUAAAGCUAGCAAAAAAGACUUUUAGACCACCAAGAUAAAAAGAGAAAUUUAUCAAGGAGCUAAACAAGAAUCUCAAGUUUAGACACUUUCGAACUCGAACUAAACA
rnacentral:sRNA from 1 species